UCUUUCUUUUUCCCCUUUUCUUCAUCUGUUGAGAGUUUGAUAAUCAGAAGUGAUGUUUUUGAGAUUGAAUCAAGAGUAGAAAGAUCAAGGAAGGUUCCUGGUGGUGAUGAUUGUGUUGUGGUAAGUUCUGAGUUAAAAGAAGUGACGAGUUAGAGAAGAUAAGUUAGGGAUUUUGGAUUUGAAGUUGGGUUUGUGAAGUACUGAGGAUUAUAUUGAGUUGAUGGUAGAUGAAGAUUGAAUGGGUUGAUGAUGAAUUGAUGUUAUGGGACUGUUGUGAUGAAGAAUCAAGAUAAAAAGAGAAGAUUAAGAUUUAUGUUCUUCCCCAAAUUGGAAGUUAGGGUUUCCGAGAAUCAGAGAUGAUGAUGAGGAAUGAGGGGUUUUCGUUAAUCUGGAGGCGAGUUGGUGAACUGAGUUAAGUGAAGAAGGAAUUGUAUCCAACUACGAGAGUAACACAUAUUUUAGGUAAUUGUUUCUCCGAGGUGAUUCAAAUUAGUUAUUCAGUUUCAUUGUUUGAUUAUAAUGUGAUUGUUUUAGAGCUGAUAAUUGAAAUGGGUAUGUCAGAGAUGGAUAUAUGGUUGUAGCAUAGGUUGAUGUGAAUUAUAUGUUUGAAUCUUUACUAGAUUGAAGGUUUACAUGGAGUUGUUGGUUAUGAAAUUUCAGAAGUAUUGUUAGUGCUGUUGGUAUGUACAAAUGGUGAUGAUAUUGGUCUGGUGUUGUGUUUGUUAGUAUUAUGAUUGCAGUUAGAUGUAUUGGAUAACCAAUGGAGGGAUGCAGAGUUAAAGUAUAUUUGUGUUGUGAUUAGUAAUGGAGAUGAAGUUGAGUUACUGAUAGGUUUGUGCUAACUUGCAGCUAAAGAUUAUGGAAAUGAGUAGAUUUAAUGAUGAUGAGAAUGCCAGAGAAUUGUUAGUGAAGGAAUUGAAGUGGUGUUUUGCUUAGGGAUGUAAUACAAAGGAGUUAGAGUGUUGGAUGUUGCAUAAGAUUGAAAUUGCAGGUGGUGAUAUUCUGAGAAUGUGUGUGCUGGUGGUGGUAAUGGAAUUGGUUAAACUGAGUUAUUGUUUGAUCUGAGUACAGAUUGAAGUUGAAUUAUGGCUAGUGGUUUUGAAUUGAGAUGGGGUUGAACUUAACUUAUAGUGGUGUUGAUGUUGCAGUUCAUGGGGUUGGAUGUGAUAUAACUAAUAUGGAUGUAUGUAGAUGAGAUUGCAACUGCUACCUUAAGGUAAGCUGAAUUGUAUUUGGAAAUGAGUUAUGAAGUUGUUCUGUAUUUGUAUUGAA